rnacentral:lncRNA from 1 species
AGAUCUGUGCAGAGAACUCCUGGAGUCAGCUGUCUGUCCCUGGAGCAAUCACACAGGCUGUUGAGAGGAUGAACUUAGUCCCCUACUUUCCGCCUCCUGGGCAGAAUGUGAGAAACAUAAUACAUUACACCCAGGACAGUGUGACCUUUGCUCACACCAUGGAGAACUCAUCCAGCAGCCCAAGAGAGACCAGGGAACCUGCUCCUUCCGCAAGGUCCUGGAGGGGCCGCUUCCAGAGAGCUCUGGCACGCGUGUCCAAGUUCUUCAGGAGAGGAUGCCAAUCAACCCGAGGCGGAGACCACUGGAAUCCUAGACAUGGGGGCCAUGCACAGUGAUCAAGAUCUUCGGCUGCGCAGGCCCCUGCUCUCAAGGAAUCUUGUCCAGUGAUGUUGAAAUAAAUGCUCGCAGACUUUCAAAUUU